rnacentral:tRNA from 1 species
GGGGGCACAGCUCAGUGGCAGAGCGAGUGCUCGGCAUGCAUGAGGUCCUGGGUUCCAUCCCCGGUGCCACCA